UACGAAGGGGGCUAGCGUUGCUCGGAAUCACUGGGCGUAAAGGGCGCGUAGGCGGCGUUUUUAAGUUGGGGGUGAAAGCCUGUGGCUCAACCACAGAAUUGCCUCGAUACUGGGACGCUUGAGUGUGGUAGAGGUUGGUGGAACUGCGAGUGUAGAGGUGAAAUUCGUAGAUAUUCGCAAGAACACCGGUGGCGAAGGCGGCCAACUGGACCAUCACUGACGCUGAGGCGCGAAAGCGUGGGGAGCAAACAGG
rnacentral:rRNA from 1 species